CCUACGGGAGGCAGCAGUGAGGAAUAUUGGUCAAUGGGCGCGAGCCUGAACCAGCCAAGUAGCGUGAAGGAUGACUGCCCUACGGGUUGUAAACUUCUUUUAUAAAGGUAUAAAGUGAGGCACGUGUGCCUUUUUGUAUGUACUUUAUGAAUAAGGAUCGGCUAACUCCGUGCCAGCAGCCGCGGUAAUACGGAGGAUCCGAGCGUUAUCCGGAUUUAUCGGGUUUAAAGGGAGCGUAGAUGGGUUGUUAAGUCAGUUGUGAAAGUUUGCGGCUCAACCGUAAAAUUGCAAUUGAUACUGGCAGUCUUGAGUACAGGUGAGGUAGGCGGAAUUCGUGGUGUAGCGGUGAAAUGCUUAGAUAUCACGAAGAACUCCGAUUGCGAAGGCAGCUUACUAAACUGCCACUGACAUUGAUGCUCGAAAGUGUGGGUAUCAAACAGGAUUAGAUACCCGAGUAGUC
rnacentral:rRNA from 1 species